ACUGCAGUGUUGGAGCUUGGAGCUGAGGCCACUGGUUGGCCAAUGAACCCACAAACGUAGGGAGUGUGCUACACGGGGCCGAGUGUUUCAUAAACACCACAAGGGUCUCUGGCCCCACGAGUGGAGUUUGAUAGUAGUACUUACUACAAGU
ensembl:snoRNA SNORA62 Small nucleolar RNA SNORA62/SNORA6 family